ensembl:snRNA U6 U6 spliceosomal RNA
GUCCUCACUUCAGCAGCACAUUUACCAAAAUUGGAAUGAUACGGAGAAGAUUAGCAGGGCCCCUGCAUGAGGAUGACAGGCAAAUUUAUGAUGCAUUCCAUUUUUUC